rnacentral:rRNA from 1 species
UACAGAGGUCCCAAGCGUUGUUCGGAUUUAUCUGGGCGUAAAGGGGUGCGAUAGGCGGUCGGGUAAGUUUGAUUGUGAAAUCUCCGGGCUUAAACCCGGAAAUGGGCAUUGAAACUACUAUUCGGCUAGAGAGUUGGAGGGGGGACUGGAAUAACUUGGUGGUAGGCAGUUGAAAUGCGUAGAUAAUCAAGUGGAACGCCAGUG